AGUGCUGGUUCCUCCACCAUCGGCUGCAAGGCGCUUUCCAUUAUCGUUGUCACCAGCAGUAACAGUGUCCCCCGGAAACAAGUUAUCCGUCUACAAAGGUAGUGACAUGUCUGCAGCCCUGGCACACAGCAGAUACACAUGCGCCGUAGUACCGUAGCACACUGAUGGGGGAGACAAAAGAAAAUAACGCAGCUCACUGAUAAACUGGAAUACCUGCGGCAAUUCGUUUUCGGCAGCAGCGGAAAUUCUGCAGCUGCAUCAGGUCAAGCAAGACGAUUUCUUUAGCGGUCUGCAACUCAAUGCUCGCCUUCGAUGCAGCAGAGGGGCUGCAUCGUUAAUGGAAUUGGAACCUUUCAGGAAAGAAAGGCCUGUAGCAAAGGAUCAAGCUCAACAUUUUCUUAAAUUGAAAAUGGGAAGCCACAGAAAAACGUUUUCAAGAUUGCCGGCGGAUGGUUUCAAACCACCUGCCUCCCGAAUCCAGGGACUGCUUGCUCAGCU